rnacentral:rRNA from 1 species
AUUGAACGCUGGCGGCAGGCCUAACACAUGCAAGUCGAGCGGUAGAGAGGUGCUUGCAUCUCUUGAGAGCGGCGGACGGGUGAGUAAUGCCUAGGAAUCUGCCUAGUGGUGGGGGAUAACGUUCGGAAACGGACGCUAAUACCGCAUACGUCCUACGGGAGAAAGCGGGGGAUCUUCGGACCUCGCGCCAUUAGAUGAGCCUAGGUCGGAUUAGCUAGUUGGUGAGGUAAUGGCUCACCAAAGGCGACGAUCCGUAACUGGUCUGAGAGGAUGAUCAGUCACACUGGAACUGAGACACGGUCCAGACUCCUACGGGAGGCAGCAGUGGGGAAUAAUUGGACAAUGGGC